GACUACCGGGGUAUCUAAUCCUGUUCGCUCCCCACGCUUUCGUGCCUCAGCGUCAGUUUCGUCUUCGUGAGCUGUCUUCACUAUCGGUGUUCUGUGCCAUAUCUAAGCAUUUCACCGCUACACGGCACAUUCCGCCCACGUCAAACGUACUCAAGAACAACAGUAUCAACGGCAGUUCUGCAGUUAAGCUGCAGGCUUUCACCGCUGACUUAUUGUUCCGCCUACGCACCCUUUAAACCCAAUGAAUCCGGAUAACGCUUGCACCCUUCGUAUUACCGCGGCUGCUGGCACGAAGUUAGCCGGUGCUUAUUCCAUCGGUACCGUCAACCCGGGACACGUCCCGGGGUUUCUUCCCGAUUAAAAGCAGUUUACAACGCGUAGCGCCUUCUUCCUGCACGCGGCAUGGCUGCGUCAGAGUUGCCUCCAUUGCGCAAUAUUCCUCACUGCAGCCGCCCGUAGG
rnacentral:rRNA from 1 species